UCCCUGGCAGUCCAGUGGUAAGGACUCUGCAUUUUCACUGCUGAGGGCAUGGGUUCGAUUCCUGGUCAGGCAA
rnacentral:tRNA from 1 species